GAUGAACGCUGGCGGCGUGCCUAAUACAUGCAAGUCGAGCGAACGGACGAGAAGCUUGCUUCUCUGAUGUUAGCGGCGGACGGGUGAGUAACACGUGGAUAACCUACCUAUAAGACUGGGAUAACUUCGGGAAACCGGAGCUAAUACCGGAUAAUAUUUUGAACCGCAUGGUUCAAAAGUGAAAGACGGUCUUGCUGUCACUUAUAGAUGGAUCCGCGCAGCAUUAGCUAGUUGGUAAGGUAACGGCUUACCAAGGCAACGAUGCAUAGCCGACCUGAGAGGGUGAUCGGCCACACUGGAACUGAGACACGGUCCAGACUCCUACGGGAGGCAGCAGUAGGGAAUCUUCCGCAAUGGGCGAAAGCCUGACGGAGCAACGCCGCGUGAGUGAUGAAGGUCUUCGGAUCGUAAAACUCUGUUAUUAGGGAAGAACAUAUGUGUAAGUAACUGUGCACAUCUUGACGGUACCUAAUCAGAAAGCCACGGCUAACUACGUGCCAGCAGCCGCGGUAAUACGUAGGUGGCAAGCGUUAUCCGGAAUUAUUGGGCGUAAAGCGCGCGUAGGCGGUUUUUUAAGUCUGAUGUGAAAGCCCACGGCUCAACCGUGGAGGGUCAUUGGAAACUGGAAAACUUGAGUGCAGAAGAGGAAAGUGGAAUUCCAUGUGUAGCGGUGAAAUGCGCAGAGAUAUGGAGGAACACCAGUGGCGAAGGCGACUUUCUGGUCUGUAACUGACGCUGAUGUGCGAAAGCGUGGGGAUCAAACAGGAUUAGAUACCCUGGUAGUCCACGCCGUAAACGAUGAGUGCUAAGUGUUAGGGGGUUUCCGCCCCUUAGUGCUGCAGCUAACGCAUUAAGCACUCCGCCUGGGGAGUACGACCGCAAGGUUGAAACUCAAAGGAAUUGACGGGGACCCGCACAAGCGGUGGAGCAUGUGGUUUAAUUCGAAGCAACGCGAAGAACCUUACCAAAUCUUGACAUCUUUUGACAACUCUAGAGAUAGAGCCUUCCCCUUCGGGGGACAAAGUGACAGGUGGUGCAUGGUUGUCGUCAGCUCGUGUCGUGAGAUGUUGGGUUAAGUCCCGCAACGAGCGCAACCCUUAAGCUUAGUUGCCAUCAUUAAGUUGGGCACUCUAAGUUGACUGCCGGUGACAAACCGGAGGAAGGUGGGGAUGACGUCAAAUCAUCAUGCCCCUUAUGAUUUGGGCUACACACGUGCUACAAUGGACAAUACAAAGGGCAGCGAAACCGCGAGGUCAAGCAAAUCCCAUAAAGUUGUUCUCAGUUCGGAUUGUAGUCUGCAACUCGACUACAUGAAGCUGGAAUCGCUAGUAAUCGUAGAUCAGCAUGCUACGGUGAAUACGUUCCCGGGUCU
rnacentral:rRNA from 1 species